rnacentral:rRNA from 1 species
GACGAACGCUGGCGGCGUGCUUCACACAUGCAAGUCGAGCGGAAAGGCCCUUCGGGGUACUCGAGCGGCGAACGGGUGAGUUACACGUGCGUAACCUGCCCUAGGCUUUGGGCUAACCCCGGGAAACCGGGGCUAAUACCGGAUAUGACCUGGUGCCGCAUGGUGUUGGGUGGAACGUUUUUUCGGCCUGGGAUGGGCUAGCGGCCUAUCAGCUUGUUGGUGGGGUGAUGGUCUACCAAGGCGAUGACGGGUAGCCGGCCUGCGAGGGCGACCGGCCACACUGGGACUGAGACACGGCCCAGACUCCUACGGGAAGCAGCAGGGGGGAAUAUUGCACAAUGGGCGGAAGCCUGAUGCAGCGACGCCGUGUGAGGGAUGAAGGCCUUCGGGUUGUAAACCUCUUUCAGCAGGGACGAAGCGUGAGUGACGGUACCUGCAGAAGAAGCGCCGGCCAACUACGUG